UCUCGGUAUUCUAGGCUCGGCCUUACAAUAUAACAAACAAGUUUGACCUCAAAUCAGGUAGGACUACCCGCUGAACUUAAGCAUAUCAAUAAGCGGAGGAAAAGAAACCAACAGGGAUUGCCUUAGUAACGGCGAGUGAAGCGGCAAAAGCUCAAAUUUGAAAUCUGGCGCCUUCGGUGUCCGAGUUGUAAUUUGAAGAAGGUAACUUUGGAGUUGGCUCUUGUCUAUGUUCCUUGGAACAGGACGUCACAGAGGGUGAGAAUCCCGUGCGAUGAGAUGCCCAAUUCUAUGUAAAGUGCUUUCGAAGAGUCGAGUUGUUUGGGAAUGCAGCUCUAAGUGGGUGGUAAAUUCCAUCUAAAGCUAAAUAUUGGCGAGAGACCGAUAGCGAACAAGUACAGUGAUGGAAAGAUGAAAAGAACUUUGAAAAGAGAGUGAAAAAGUACGUGAAAUUGUUGAAAGGGAAGGGCUUGAGAUCAGACUUGGUAUUUUGCGAUCCUUUCCUUCUUGGUUGGGUUCUCCGCAGCUUACUGGGCCAGCAUCGGUU
rnacentral:rRNA from 1 species